GGUUGAUCCUGCCAGUAGUCAUAUGCUUGUCUAGCAGAUUAAGCCAUGCAAGUCUAAGUUUAAAUGAAUUUUGAACAGUGAAACUGCGACGGCUCAUUAAAUCAGUUAUAAUUUAUUUGAUAGUUUGUGACUUUUUAAGUUACCAAAAGGAUAUCCGUGGUAAUUCUCCGGCUAAUACUUGCAAAAAAACUUCGAACCGCAAGGUGAGGAGUGUAUUUAUUAGAUACAAAAACCAGCAACUAGCAAUAGUUUUAUUGGUGAAUCAUGAUAACUUAUCGAAUCGUCAGUCU
rnacentral:rRNA from 1 species